rnacentral:rRNA from 1 species
CAGCCGCCACGGUAAAACGUAGGUGGCAAGCGUUGUCCGGAAUUAUUGGGCGUAAAGGGCUCGCAGGCGGUUUCUUAAGUCUGAUGUGAAAGCCCCCGGCUCAACCGGGGAGGGUCAUUGGAAACUGGGAAACUUGAGUGCAGAAGAGGAGAGUGGAAUUCCACGCGUAGCGGUGAAAUGCGUUGAGAUCGGAAAGAACACCAACGGCGAAAGCACUCUGCUGGGCCGACACUGACACUGAGAGACGAAAGCUAGGGGAGCAAAUGGGAUUAGAUACCCGGGUAGUCCCUGUCUCUUAUAA